rnacentral:rRNA from 1 species
GGCGUGCUUAACACAUGCAAGUCGAGCGAUGAAGUUCCUUCGGGAACGGAUUAGCGGCGGACGGGUGAGUAACACGUGGGUAACCUGCCUCAUAGAGGGGAAUAGCCUUUCGAAAGGAAGAUUAAUACCGCAUAAGAUUGUAGUGCCGCAUGGCAUAGCGAUUAAAGGAGUAAUCCGCUAUGAGAUGGACCCGCGUCGCAUUAGCUAGUUGGUGAGGUAACGGCUCACCAAGGCGACAAUGCGUAGCCGACCUGAGAGGGUGAUCGGCCACAUUGGGACUGAGACACGGCCCAGACUCCUACGGGAGGCAGCAGUGGGGAAUAUUGCACAAUGGGGGAAACCCUGAUGCAGCAACGCCGCGUGAGUGAUGACGGUCUUCGGAUUGUAAAGCUCUGUCUUCUGGGACGAUAAUGACAGACC